rnacentral:rRNA from 1 species
ACGGCGAGUGAAGAGGGAAAAGCCCAAAUUUGUAAUCUGGCUCUUUUUAUAAGGGUCCGAGUUGUAAUUUUGAGAACUGUUUUCCGUGCUGGACCAUGUACAAGUCUGUUGAAAAACAGCAUCAUUGAGGGUGAAAAUCCCGUACAUGAUAUGGACUACCAGUGCAAUGUGAUACAGUCUCUAAGAGUCGAGUUGUUUGGGAAUGCAGCUCAAAGUGGGUGGUAAAUUCCAUCUAAGGCUAAAUAUAGGUGAGAGACCGAUAGCAAACAAGUACCGUGAGGGAAAGAUGAAAAGAACUUUGGAAAGAGAGUUAACAGUACGUGAAAUUGUUAAAAGGGAAACAUUUGAAGUUAGACUUGUUAUUGUUGGUUCAACUUCUUUAUUGAGGUUUAUUCUGAUGAUUAACAGACCAGCAUCAAUUUUUUAGUGCCGGAUAAGGGUUUUGGAAAAGUAGCAGCCUUGGUUGUGUUAAAGACCAUUACUUUGAUACGGUGCUUGGGAUUGAGGAACGCAGUAAGC